rnacentral:rRNA from 1 species
ACAAUGUUUGUAAAUCCCAGGCACUGAAUAUGAUUUUUUUUUUAGUUUAGCCAUAGUUUCGGAGAAGAUAUAAAGAGUAUCAAUGAAUCAAAAUCGAAAUCAUAUUCUUUUCACUGUUUUCUAUCCAAAACAAUUUUUUAGACUCUCUUGAAUUCCAUAGCGAUAUUAAAAGAAAAGAUUUCAAGUAAUAGAACGUACAAAGUUUAUAAAAAUGUUUUUUUUUUGUUUUAGGGGCGUCGGUGGCUGCGAUAGUUUAGGCGUUGACACGGCGCUCAUCGCUGUAAGGUAAAGGUUCCGCGUUCGAAACCAGCAGCCUUACAAACGGGCUUUUUUGCAAAAACGCAUUCGUAUUGCGGCGUUAGAGGUGAAAUUCUUGGAUCGUCGCAAGACGCACUAGAGCGAAAGCAAUUGCCAAGUAUGUCUUAAUUGAUCAAGAACGAAUGUUAGAGGUUCGAAGGCGAUCAGAUACCGCCUUAGUUCUAACCAUAAACGAUGCCAGCCAGCGAUCAGGGAGCUUUCCCCGAGAAACCAAAGCUUUUGGGCUCGGGGGGAAGUAUGGUUGCAAAGCUGAAACUUAAAGCAAUUGAYGGAGGGGCACCACCAGAAGUGGAGCCUGCGGCUUAAUUUGACUCAACACGGGAAACCUCAACAGGUCAGGACAUUGGAAUGAGUGACAGAUUGCUAGCUCUUUCUUGAUUCAUUGGGUAGUGGUGCAUGGCCGUUCUUAGUUGGUGGAUCGAUUUGUCUGGUUAAUUCCGAUAACGAACGAGACUCUAGCCUAUUAACUAGACGCGUUUGGUAUCGAAUCUACCGGCGAACAAUAUUCUUCUUAAGGGGACAGGCUUUUAGCCGCACGAGAUUGAGCAAUAACAGGUCUGUGAUGCCCUUAGAUGUCCUGGGCCGCACGMGCGCUACACUGAAGGAAUCAGCGUGUGCGUUCCCUUGGCCGAAAGGUCCGGGUAACUCGCUGAACCUCCUUCAUUGGGGCUUGCAAUUGUUCUCCAUGAACGAGCAAUUCCCAGUAAGCGCGAGUCAUAAGCUCGCGUUGAUUAUGUCCCUGCCCUUUGUACACCCCGCGCGUCGCUACUACCGAUUGAAUGAUUUAGUGAGRUCUUCGGACUGGCGGUAAGCCCAACCGACAUUGUCGGUUUUGUCGAACGCUGGAAAGAUGACCAAACUUGAUCAUUUAGAGGAAGUAAAAGUCGUAAUAAGGUUUCCGUAGAUGAACCUGCGGAAG